AAACCAGUAGAAGCAAUAAAAAGGCCCAGCCCAGAUGAACCAAUGACAAAUUUGGAAUUAAAAAUAUCUGCCUCCCUAAAACAAGCACUUGAUAAACUUAAACUGUCAUCAGGGAAUGAAGAAGAUAAAAAAGAGGAAGAUAAUGACGAAUUA